rnacentral:rRNA from 1 species
UUGGGAAUCUUGGACAAUGGGGGAAACCCUGAUCCAGCCAUGCCGCGUGAGUGAUGAAGGCCUUCGGGUUGUAAAGCUCUUUUACCCGGGAAGAUAAUGACUGUACCGGGAGAAUAAGCUCCGGCUAACUUCGUGCCAGCAGCCGCGGUAAUACGAAGGGGGCUAGCGUUGUUCGGAAUUACUGGGCGUAAAGCGUGCGCAGGCGGCUUCCCAAGUCAGUGGUGAAAGCCCGGAGCUCAACUCCGGAACUGCCAUUGAAACUGUGAAGCUUGAGGACGAGAGAGGUGAGUGGAAUUCCCAGUGUAGAGGUGAAAUUCGUAGAUAUUGGGAAGAACACCGGUGGCGAAGGCGGCUCACUGGCUCGUUUCUGACGCUCAGGCACGACAGCGUGGGGAUCAAACAGGAUUAGAUACCCCCGUAGUCC